UGGAUGGUCCUUCCUUCUGUCUCAGCUUCGAACUUUGUCUCUGUAACUCCUUCCAUGGGUAUUUUGUUACCUAUUCUGAGAAGGAACAAAGUAUCCACACUGUGGUCUUCCUUCUUCUUGAGUACCAUGUGUUUUACAAAUGUAUCUUGAGAAUUCUAAGUUUCUGGGCUAAUAUCCACUUGUCAGUGAGUUCAUAUCUUGUGUGUUCUUUUGUGAUUGGGUUACCUUACUCAGGAUGAUAUCCUCCAGAUCCAUCCAUUUGCCUAGGAAUUUCAUAAAUUCAUUGUUUUAAAUAAGUGAGUAGUACUCCAUUGGGUAAAUGUACCACAUUUUCUGUAUCUAUUCCUCAGUUGAGGGACAUUUGGGUUCUUUCCACCUUCUGGCUAUUAUAAAUAAAGCUGCUAUGAACAUAGUGGAGCAUGUGUCCUUAUUACAAGUUGGAACAUCUUCUGGAUAUAUGCCCAGGAGUGGUAUUGCUGGAUCUUCUGGUAGUAGUACUAUGUCCAAUUUUCUGAGAAACCACCAGACUGAUUUCCAGAGUGGUUGUACCAGCUUGCAAUCCCACCAGCAAUGGAGGAGUGUUCCUCUUUCACCACAUCCUCACUAGCAUCUGCUGUCACCUGAAUUUUUGAUCUUAGCCAUUCUGACUGGUGUGAGGUGGAAUCUAAGGGUUGUUUUGAUUUGUAUUUCCCUGAUGAUUAAGGAUGUUGAACAUUCUUUUCAGGUGCUUCUCAGCCAUUAGGUAUUCCUCAGUUGAGAAUUUUUCUUCAGCUCUUUACCCCAUUUUUAAAAUAGGGUUAUUUGAUUUUUCUGGAGUCCAUCUUCUUGAGUUCUUUGUAUAUAUUGGAUAUUAGUCCCCUAUCAGAUUUAGUAUUGGUAAAGAUCCUUUCCCAAUCUGUUGGUAUUCCUGAGCCUUUUAUAGCAUGCUUUGGUACUAUGCAGUUGUUUAUGUCUCUUACCCUUGUGUAUAGAUAGUGACAAUAAAUUUUGUCAACUGAGCCCAAGAUUAAAACUUUAUAAACCUAAAUAAAUCUCAUCUCUCACAAUGAAUUCAUUUUCAGUUCUUAUUUCUUAGGGGUGAGGAAAGUGGGAAAAAGCUAAGACAAAAAUAUGUGUUUUAUAGAGAAUGUGAUUGACCUGAUACUGGCAGAACCGACAUGGGGAUUAAUUCUGAGGAUACGAAGACUAAUAUGCUGCUUUCACUGAUGCUUUAAGAAAUUCCACUUACAAUAGAAUCUUAAAUUUAAUUGAGUUCUCACAAUUAUUUAGCUUGUGUGGAGAGUUCUGUUUGUAGCUAAGGCCUUGUAGAUUGUAGAGAAACACUUUUUAAAAUAGAUAAAUAGGUACAUGUUUGAUAUUUUUAUACUAGCCAAUUUGAAGAAAAAAGAGUAAAUGAGUAUUUACUGUAUUCCAUUUAUGUAUAAUAAAUUGUCAUUUAUAUAAUCUCCAAAUAAAAAAUAUUAUUAUCCCCAUUUUGCAGAUGAGAAAACUGAAAUCCAAAAAAGUGAACUGGUUUGUUCAAGGUCACAACAGAUAAUUAAUUAGGUGGUGAGCUGGUACCUAUUUUAUUCCAUUAUAGUUUUUCAUUCCACUGAAAUUUACUCAUAACUAUUUCUUAAUUUUCUAGUAUGAAAUUUGUAUACUCAACCAUAAUUAUUUUAAAUUAAUAGGCAAAAUAUGUAAUUUUUCUAAUUUCCAGAAUAGAUGGUUUCUGAAUAAAGAUCUUAAGAGUUGUCCUGAAGAGGGGCUGGAGAGAUGGCUCAGUUGGUAAAGUGCAGCCAUGCAGUCAUAAAGAUCUAAGUUCAGAUCUCCAGGACUUGUCAAAUCUGAGUGUAAUGGUGUGCAUCUAUUAUCUCAGUCCUGAGAAAGCAAAGACCUGAGGAUUUGUGGAUAUUUCUGGCCUGUCUUGAGUUUUAGAUUCAGGUAGACACCUUGUCUUGAACAGUAAGGUGGAGACAGAAAUAAAGGAAGACACCAACAUCAACCUCUGACCUGCAUAUGUAUAUACACAUGCUGCAUGCACAUACAUGGAAACUAAUGUGUGCAUGAAAUACAUACACAUACAUAGAAUAUCCAUAAAUACCAUACACAUAUACAUGAGUUAUUCUAAAGGAAUUUUCUUAAGUAUGAAGAAUUCACUGGUCAGAUACCACCAAUGGAUUUCAGAUUUCUAUGGAAAAGAAAUAAUGAGGAUUUGAUGUCCUAAAACUAAAUUCCAGGGGUGGGUUACCUUUUUCCAGUUGUUGGUAGGUGGGUCUCCAUAGACACUCAUCCCAAAAUAUUACAAUCUAUUGUAAUUGCUCUUAAUUGCUCUGCAGUGCAUGAAGGUUAGACCUUGUUACUGAAGAUACCACACACUGAACUAUUGGAC
rnacentral:lncRNA from 1 species